CUGGGCUGUGGAGGAGAAUCUGUUUCCAGUUGCAUUGAGUUGUUGGCAGAAUUUCAUUCCAUGGUGCUGUAGGAUUGAGGUCCCUGUUGCCUUUUUGGCUGUUGGCUAGGAAUCAUUUAAAGCUUCUAGAGGCCAUCAUCCCUUGGCCCUUGGCUCCCUUCAUCUUCAAAACCAGCAACAAGUGGCUUAUGGGUUGGAUCUCUUCUUCCUUCUCUUCAACUACAUGUUUCUGACUUGCUGAGACUGACUUUACUGCCUUCCUUUUCAAAUUUUAAGGGCUUAUGUGAUUAAGUUGGGCCCACCUGGACUAUGUGCUUUUUGAAAAGCAUACUUUAGCCCUCAUGAAAAAGAAAAAUGCAAGCAUAUUAAAAUCAGGAUAUACAGAAUAUACCUUUUAAAAGUUUUGAAGAUUUGCAGGAGAGGGCCUGGUCAAGAAGGUUGCUAUGACAUCUUAGAAGACCAUGUGAUGUCUGCACAUUCUCCUUCACCUUCUGCCAUGAGUAGAAGCAGCCUGAGGCCUUCACCGAAGCAGAUGCCAAUGUCAUGCUUCUUGUACAGUCUACAGAACCAUGAACUAAAUAAACCUCUUUUCUUUAUAAAUUACCCAGCCUCAGGUGUUCCUUUAUAGCAACACAAACAGACUAAGACAGAUAACCUUAGCCAACUUUUCUUUAAACUUGCCAUCAUCUUUGAUUGAUAAAAGAAUAAUAAAAGGGUUGAACUAAUACUUCUUACUUACUGUUAGAAUACAUUAUGGUAGAAAUCAUUUUAAAAAUGAUACAGAAAUUGAUACAGAAAUAACUAGCCUUACAGUAAUGUUUUCUAAUUUACUUGGUUCAGAAUAAAAUUAUACUGUUAUAUCACUCUGUUGUAAAAAAAUAAAAAGGCACUGGAAAAUUGUUUCCUAAGAAGACUUAUUUGUAGUUAUCAACAUACUAAAAAGCUUUUUGGGGGGCAGAUCAAAAAUGUUACUAAUAGUUCAUCUCUUGGAAUUCUGUUUUGUUAUGCUGUGCAAAUGUAUGUAAAAGUAUGAAGUUUAAGAUAGAAAGCUGCUUUUCUAGUCUGUUAAUACAUCUUUCCAGCCUGAGAAAAAUAAAUUACAUCAAGUCUAAACUUAAAGAAAAUAAACUUACGAGAAGGGCCAUCCAAUGCCAUCCUCUGAAUCUCAGACACUAAUGUCUGGUUUCCUUUGGUGCACCCCAGUAGGACUUUUCUAACAGGUUUCCCAGAGCAGACAGACUACACAAUGUUCACAUGUCAGUGACUAUUUAAGCAAAUAUUUCCCCAAGUCAUUUGUAGAGAAAGUACCUCAUAUCCUG
rnacentral:lncRNA from 1 species